rnacentral:rRNA from 1 species
GGCGUAGGCGGCGUGACAAGUCACUUGUGAAAUCUCCGGGCUUAACUCGGAACGGCCAAGUGAAACUGUCAUGCUAGAGUGCAGAAGGGGCAAUCGGAAUUCUUGGUGUAGCGGUGAAAUGCGUAGAUAUCAAGAGGAACACCUGAGGUGAAGACGGGUUGCUGGGCUGACACUGACGCUGAGGCGCGAAAGCCAGGGAGCAAACG